UUUAAGGUCUAAUCUGCCCUAUGAGGAGUUGAAUGGCCGCGGUAUUUUGACCGUGCAAAGGUAGCAUAAUAAUUAGUUUUUUAAUUGGAAGCUGGAAUGAAUGAUUGGACGAGAAAAUUACUGUCUCAAGUUUAUUUAAUUAGAAUUUUAUUUUUAAGUAAAAAAGCUUAAAUUUUUUUAAAAGACGAGAAGACCCUAUAGAGUUUUAUAAAUUUAUUUAUAUUUAAAUUUUUAGAAUUUUAUUUUUGUUAUAUUUAGAUUUAUUUUGUUGGGGUGAUAGAAAAAUUAGAGGAACUUUUUUUUAUAUUUUAACAUUGAUUUAUGGUUAAAUGAUCCAUUUUUUAUGAUUAUAAGAUUAAAUUACCUUAGGGAUAACAGCGUAAUUAUUUUUUAGAGUUCUUAUCGAAAAAAUAGAUUGCGACCUCGAUGUUGGAUUAAAAUAAACUUUUGGUGUAGGGGCUAAAUAGUUAGGUCUGUUCGACCUUUAAAAUUUUACA
rnacentral:rRNA from 1 species